rnacentral:ncRNA from 1 species
CUAAAGUUUUAUUCUUGCUUAAUAAUUUAUUUAAAUAUUGUUUUACAUGUGAAUUUUAGUGUGAUUGGAGGGUUUAAUCUUAAAGAUUAAUAUUUAAUAUAAUUUAAUCGCAGUAUUUAAUUUUAUUAAUCAAGGUGAUUUGGAAUUAGUAAUUUUUGAUAGUACCGGCAAAAAUCGUGCCAGCCGCCGCGGUUAUACGAAGGGUGCAAAUAAAUAUUUUUGGUUUGUGGUUAAAUUAUAGUGGUAGGGGAUUAAAAAUUGGAUUUUUUGAGUGGAAUCUUUAAAUUUAUAUUAAUUUCUUUAUGAUGUUGUUGAAGCUGUGAAAUUCAAACUUUAAACUAGGAUUAGAUACCCUAUUAUUUUGGAUGUUAAAUAUUUUGAGACUUGAGUAGUAAUAGUUAUGUUCUUGAAACUCAAAGAAUUUGGCGGUGUUCUAGACCUUUCAGAGGAACUUGUCCCAUGAUCGAUAAUCCUCGUUGGACUUUACUUAGGUUUGUAAUCAGUUUGUAUACCGUCGUCGUCAGAAUGUCUUUGGAGGGAUGUAAAUUUUCUUUAUUUCUUAUUAGAAUAGAUGUCAGAUCAAGGUGCAGUUUAUACUUAAGAGGAGAUGAGUUACAAUAAAUUUAUUUAUAUGGAUUGUUUGCUUUGAAAAUGAGAGCAUGAAAGUGGAUUUGAUUGUAAGUGAAUUAAAUUUAAUUAAAUUGAUUUUGGCUCUGGAGCAUGUACACAUCGCCCGUCGCUCUCGUUAUUAAGGCGAGAUAAGUCGUAACAUAGUAGAUGUACCGGAAGGUGUAUCUAGAACGUUUAAA